rnacentral:rRNA from 1 species
AGUGAACGCUGGCGGUAGGCCUAACACAUGCAAGUCGAACGGCAGCACAGUAAGAGCUUGCUCUUACGGGUGGCGAGUGGCGGACGGGUGAGGAAUACAUCGGAAUCUACUUUUUCGUGGGGGAUAACGUAGGGAAACUUACGCUAAUACCGCAUACGACCUACGGGUGAAAGCAGGGGAUCUUCGGACCUUGCGCGAUUGAAUGAGCCGAUGUCGGAUUAGCUAGUUGGCGGGGUAAGGGCCCACCAAGGCGACGAUCCGUAGCUGGUCUGAGAGGAUGAUCAGCCACACUGGAACUGAGACACGGUCCAGACUCCGACGGGAGGCAGCAGUGGGGAAUAUUGGACGAUGGGCGCAAGCCUGAUCCAGCCAUACCGCGUGGGUGAAGAAGGCCUUCGGGUUGUAGAGCCCUGUUGUUGGGAAAGAAAAGCAGCAGGUUAAUACCCCGCUGUUCUGACGGUACCCAAAGAAUAAGCACCGGCUAACUUCGUG